AAUGGGGGAAACCCUGAUGGUGCGACGCCGCGUGGGGGAAGAAGGUCUUCGGAUUGUAAACCCCUGUCAUGUGGGACAUUAAAAAGAUAGUACCACAAGAGGAAGAGACGGCUAACUCUGUGCCAGCAGCCGCGGUAAUACAGAGGUCUCAAGCGUUGUUCGGAAUCACUGGGCGUAAAGCGUGCGUAGGCUGUUUCUAAGUCGUGUGUGAAAGGCGCGGGCUCAACCCGCGGACGGCACAUGAUACUGCGAGACUAGAGUAAUGGAGGGGGAACCGGAAUUCUCGGUGUAGCAGUGAAAUGCGUAGAUAUCGAGAGGAACACUCGUGGCGAAGGCGGGUUCCUGGACAUUAACUGACGCUGAGGCACGAAGGUCAGGGGAGCGAAAGGGAUUAGAUACCCCUGUAGUCCUGGCAGUAAACGGUGCACGCUUGGUGUGCGGGGUCGCCCCCUGCGUGCCGGAGCUAACGCG
rnacentral:rRNA from 1 species